UAGGGCCAGUCAACAGCUUUCUGUAAAUUACUUGUUGCCAGCUGGCAGAAAUGUGGCUAGUGGCUCAUGUUGAUCCUGUAGGUGAAGAGAUGGGUGAUGCAACUGACUAGAAGACAAUGAUGAAAAAUAAAGGGCAGUUUUUGAAGUAAAAUAAUAAGGAAAUAACUAAAAAUAAUAAUUUUGUUUCUAGAAGACUGGAAGGCUCAGUAGUAAUGUUUGUCUUGCAUCUCAGUUUGCUGUAGCCAAAGCUGAGGCAGGAAAAUUUAAAAAUGAAUUCUGUAGAUUUAUUAGGUUAACAUAAAUGGUGAUCUCUCUCUCUUGUUUUCCCUCUCCUUCUCUUCCUCUUUCUCCCUCUUUCUCUCUCCUUCUCUCCCUCCCCCCUUUUUUUUGUAUAAAGAAGUUUUGCAGACUUGAUAGAGGCAUGUGCAGCGUGAGAUUAUCGAGAAAAUGAUAGUUUUUAGCAAAGAUCUUGGAUCUCCCCCUUGUACCCCAAGGUUUCUGAGACGUAAAUGUGAAUGUAGACUUAGCAGGGUCAGAGGCAACUGGGGACCCAAAAUGAAGGACAAAAAAAAAAAGAAAAAUGUGAAAGAUUUAUUUACAGUUCUCCCAAACCAUAAUGAAAUGAAACACCGUUUUUGAGAGUUGUGGCCUGACUGGAGCCCUAGUGAUGAUGAUACUCUCUUAGUCCUGAACAAAAAAAAAUUGCUUGGGGCCUGAUCUAAGGCAAUCUUUGAGUUUCUAUCAUGAACAUGCAAGCGACUUAUGUAGCUAAUUCUGAGCACAGCUUUAAAAAGGAGGAGAAAGCGUUUUGUUUUGCUAGAUUAGUGUUUAAUGCCCUUGGUUUUCAAGGGAAAGAGUAACCAUGAUUAUAUGAACAAACGUAGGCCACUGAUACAAAAAAAUGAAGGGAUUGAAAUUAGUAUGUCAUUUUUAUUACCCACAUUUUUCUAGAUGCACUGGUACUUGGCACUUGUAUUCAAUUUAUUUCUGACAUUUCAGUCGAGUUUUUUUUGGAAGUGUGGAUUAAAACUUCCCACCUAAACAUCAAGGAUUUUAAAUGAAACUGAUGAGUCUAAAUGUCUUAAGCAUCAAUAGAAAAAUGAUCCCUUCUCUUAUAUAAUUAAAUGUAUUGUAUUAAUGUGUGCAUAAUGCAGAAUCAAUAAAUAAUGAAUUACCACUGAUUGUAAUUGAAUGUUUUCAUAAUUUUAUUGUCAGCCAUGAUAAAUAAUCAGUACAUUUAUACUGCAUUAAAUUAAUUAGUGUGUCAUUUCUAUUACAUACAUCAGCAGUGAAGUAAUGCAGUGACAUCUGUUUCUAAUGUUUUAAAGAUGUGGUAUUCCUUAUUAAGUAAAAGGAAGAGUUAUUAGAGGUAUUUCCUGUGAUUGGCAGUUAUACUGGUACAAUUGAAAGAGAUCAAAUAAAGGAACUUGCACUCUUGGCACAUGCUGGAUUUCAACCCCCUAAUGGCAGAGAGCAACAAUGAUUGGAGUGAAUUUUGCUUCUCUGGGCUUUUAGGAAGUCCUGCCUGCCUUGUUACAGAAGGUCAGCUAAAGAAAGCAAAAAUUUUCUGGCACCGUCUGUUCAAGUAUCGCAACCCUAAUCUGAAGGCACCACCAUCUAGUGGGAUAAGAAGGCUAUUUCUGAAACACCAUGAUUGACCAAGAUGUUAGAAGCUGGAAUAUACAAACAGUGGAGUUGCUAGGACGGAAAGCACCAAACUCUGCUUUGUAACAUCCUGUUUUAUAAUUGCAUAAUUACAGUAAUUCUUACCAAUUCAUGAUGUUAUUGAUACUGAAUUUUGUUGUCAUUUUCAGCAGAUGAAAAGAAACAGAAGGCAUUAGUUAUUAAAAGAAUGAUUGAAAAAUGCAAAGUCAACACUUAGAAUAUGUAAAGAAGCUGUAAAAACAAUUUGUUACAUAUACAAAAUGCAUAUAUUCUGCAAGAGUUUAUAAUUUAAUUCCUUACUAGCAUAGAUACGUUAGUAAGUAUGUUAACAACUGUGUAUGUUUGAAUAUAUUUAACUUCUAUUGUUUGCUUUCUCUUCUAAUUUAUCCUUCAUUAGUCAAAAACAGUUCUUCAAAUUACCCUUGUAGAAAAAUGGCUUACUUCGUAAAAAUCCCUUACACUUGUCAGGGAUCCUCCUCAAGUUUAUUCAGUGGCAGGCAGGCUCUGUUGGUUUAAUCCUCUGCUGCAGUUUCUGUGAAGAAGCCUUAUGGAACUUCUUCACAGAUUUUCUCCAGGUUUCCUCCAUGUAACUUGCUAGCUCUCUACUGCAUUCUCAAGCUGACCACUAAUUUUUCUAGUUUUUGAUCAAGGCCCAGAAUCUUUAAAACUUGCAAUAAACUGAGUGAAAACUUUUAAGUUUAAGUCCUUGUGACUCAUCUUCCCGUAUGGGGACAGCCGUGUACUUUUCAGUCGCAGAAGUGGUCAUGUGUUGGCGGAGGAACUACCAUUUCUUAGGUUUAAUUUCAGUACUGCUUUUUCUUUGGUUUCAAGCACAUAUAUGUUAUAGUAUCUGCAUUAUUUCUGCAGAUGAAAAAAAAUCUUCCAGCAAACCUGUCUGUUUCUGAAUUUAUUAGGGGAUUGUUCAUACGAGGAUACCACAUUUUUCCAGUUUUGCUGGAGUCAUUUCCAAGUUGAUGAUUUUUCUAUCUAACAGCCUACACAUUUGAUGAAGAAUACACAGGGUUUGGCUUAUUUCACGUUUGGCAAUUGAGAAAUCUGUUUUAAGUGAGGAAAACAGAAUUGCAACUCAUGUCUACAUAAAUCAAUAUGAUUUACGUGGCUGUGGUUAGACAGUUUCCUUACAUCUUUUGUGGUUCAACUGCCAUGAUGCUUAAUCCUAAUUAAAAAUCCACAGUAUUUCCAGAAUACAUUUUUGGCUUUUACAUCAGCCUCUUCUCUAAUGCUAGGCAGGAACGGCCUGCUGCACAGUCCUAUAUAUGCAGUGUGGAUAUUCCACACUUCAAAAUUAUCUUGACAUCAGUGUAGGAAAACUGAUUUUGCCAUUUUAUUGACCGGUCUUAACUUGGGAGUUCUAGUAACGUUGAACACAUUUACAGAAUCAUGACACAAUGGUAAGUAGCAUUUUUUUUUUAUUCAUUUGAAUAGGAAGAACUGGUAAGCCAUAUACAGUGUAAAGUCUGAAAUAAAAAGGUUAAAAAGUGAUGUGCAAACUUCUGCCAGAAACACCACCUUGUCAAGGUAGUCUCAACAACCUCUUACAUAUGUUAAAGAACAUUUCACCAGGGAAAUUAAGGAAACUUCUGGAGAGGAAUACAUUGCUUUAAGAAAUUACACGGUAUAAACCCAAAACACUGUCACAAACUCCUGAUUAUUUUUUCAUUGACAUGUCCAAAAAAAAUUUAGUCGUUUGCUUAAGUAUAUUGAGAUUAUUUCAGUUUCAAUAAUAGUUUACACCAUUCUGUCUCUAUCUUGGUAGUACUACAAAAUACAUAUUUUUUAUCAAGAGAAAAGAUGCAGAAUGAAGAUUAGGAAGGUAAAAGGGUGUUUUACAAACAUGCCUAAAUGAUUAAAAAAACAAACAAACCACAAACACUAAAAGAGAAGCAGCAAUAUUAAUUCACAUGCCAUACCAAAUGACUUAAGUCACUGUUAAAGAGCACUGAGAGAAGUAAUCUAACGAAAUCAAAAACUGAACUGACACCACAUACCGCAUAUAAAUGCACUAACAGCAUGCUUUUAGGGUAAUGUAAAUCAAGAUACAGUCUGAUUCUACUACCAGUAGUUUACUAAAUCUCCAAUUCCUAAAGAAAGUUUCCUCCGUGUCUCUAAGAGACAAGCAGUAAAAACUGCAGCGUGUGAGUCACCAUCCUAGGUUCAUCAGCUAUUUCAAGCAUGAAAGAAUAACCUGUGGCAAAAACAUUAACUGAACUUUUCAGCCAUUGCAUAGACCAUCUCCUUUAUCCUGCAUACUGGUAGUUUUAGGACUCCUUAAAAAUCCUUAAUGAAGCUGUAGUGGAGCCUUUUUUGCAUAUUCUGCCAGUUGUGCUGGACAAAGCAGACUGAUCAAAGCUAUGAUCCUGUUUCUUUCUCCUCUGUACUCAGUUUGUACAAGAAUGUUUUGACUGCAAUGAGAGACUGACAGAAUUCUUGAAGAAUGUUGUUAAUUAACAAAUUGGCAAAAGAGACUUGUUGCUUUGCAUGCUUACAGAAGUAGAGCAAAUCUAAUUCUCCUUUCCCAUCUCUGAAAAAAAUAUAAUUUACUCCUA